CGCGACAUGGCCCUAUACAUUCUCACUUGAAGUUCGAGUUGCCUGCUGCUCAUUCAUUCUCCUUCCGCGAGCGCAUCGUUCCGCUUUGUAGGCCUUCUCUAGGACUCCAGCGGCUGAUAUGACGAGGAUUGUUCCGGUAGAGAACGUUCUCUACGCUACUAUAAAUCUCGG